rnacentral:rRNA from 1 species
GACGAACGCUUGCGGCGUGCCUAAGAAAUGCAAGUCGAACGGACAGUGGCCUCGGUCACUGUUAGUGGCGAACGGUCGCGUAACACGUAAGAAACCUGCCUCGAAGCGGGGGAUAACAGUCCGAAAGGAUUGCUAAUACCGCAUGUGGUCACCGGGAGGCAUCUCCUGUUGUCUAAAGAUUUAUCACUUCGAGAUGGUCUUGCGGCCUAUCAGCUAGUUGGUGAGGUAACGGCUUACCAAGGCGACGACGGGUAGCUGGUCUGAGAGGACGAUCAGCCGGAUUGGGACUGAGAUACGGCCCAGACUCCUACGGGGGGCAGCAAUUAGGAAUCUUGCACAAUGGGCGAAAGCCUGAUGCAGCGACGCCGCGUGAAGGGACGAA